rnacentral:rRNA from 1 species
ACGUAGGGACCAAGCGUUGUCCGGAAUUAUUGGGCGUAAAGAGCUCGUAGGCGGUUCGGUAAGUCGGGUGUGAAAAUCCAGGGCUCAACCCUGGGACGCCACCCGAUACUGCUGUGACUAGAGUCCGGUAGAGGAGCGUGGAAUUCCUGGUGUAGCGGUGAAAUGCGCAGAUAUCAGGAGGAACACCAGCGGCGAAGGCGGCGCUCUGGGCCGGUACUGACGCUGAGGAGCGAAAGCGUGGGGAGCAAACAGG